GCCCGUUGCGUUUUUUCUCCACCAGUCGCUUGUUUUCCCGCUGGGUUUGCGCUGCGGCUGCGUGUUUUUUGUUUGAUUCGCGUGGUGUCGUUUUGUUGCCGCUUCACGCUCUUCUGGCACCUGCGGGAGGCUGCGCGUUGAAACGCCGUGAAGCAAAAAAAACACUUACGAUUAACUACUUAAUAAUUUCUCUCGAUAAGAAAAAAUGUAUUCUUUCCGUGCCCACAGGGGUCUGCGAAUAGUUGGCUGGAGAGAGGACUUCAUGUAUGAAUGGUUCAAAGUAGACAAGAUUGUGCGCUCAGCAAACAGUAACGCCCAGAACGUGAAACACGGUAAAAAAGUAAAGAACAAAACUGAAAAAUCCAGUACAGAGAAACUAACAGAUGAGGAGGACACUUCUCCAUCCUGGAAUCACAGUGUCCUUGGAUUCUCCGAGACAGGAGUUGCCCACGAUGGCUUUCCUAAAGUGGAAGGCCGCGACGGCAAACCUGCUCCACAGUUCCCUGUAAAGCCUCUUUUCAGUGGUCUGCCAGCAUCUGAAAGCUCAAGCAACAAUGAGAGUGAGAGGGAGAUGGACACAGGAUCCUCCUCCAUGGCUUUCGAUGCUGUCUUCUCCUCCAGCAGCAGCAGUCCUCUGGAGACUGAGCAGGCAACCAAAGCCAACCUUGAGAAUAUGUCCAGCACAGAGAGAAUAGCCUUCCUGCAGGAGAAGCUCAAGGACAUCCGCAGUCACUACCUCUCACUGAAGUCUGAGGUGGCCUCCAUUGACCGCAGGAGGAAACUCAUGAAAAAGAAAAGAGGGGGUAGAAGGCUAAUUCAUAAAAUUAAUAAAAAACAGAGAGACUAGUUUCUGCUUACAUGCACUUAGAUUAUGAAAUAUUUUCCAUGACAGAUUAGACAGGUGCUAUCUAUUGAAAUUUUAAAUUAAAAAAAUAAAUGUAACUACAUUUGUUUCUAUUUAUGUAUU
rnacentral:lncRNA from 1 species